rnacentral:misc_RNA from 1 species
UGCACAAGAAUCGAGCAGAGACAUCUUCCAAAUAAGGAAUAAUGGAACCCGUCAAGAUUUGAUCCCAUACAGAACCCAGAUCAGAUCGAAGCCCUAUCAAAGAAAAGACCAUGAAAAACUUGUCUCAUUGCUGCUCAUGCAAUGAUGCUGUCAGAGAAUGGCAUAAGAGAAUUAAACUCAUCCUUUAGUGUUUCUAUUUGCCCUAAAUAA